GCCUGGCUGGCUCAGUCAGCAGAGCAUAGGACUCUUGAUUUUGGGUUUGUGAGUUCAAGCCCCACGUUGGGUG
rfam:Ailuropoda melanoleuca scaffold1298_37, whole genome shotgun sequence.